CUUUCCUGCUGCUCCAACACUGCUGCCGGGGCCCUCUAGCUGGGAUCAGCAGGCCUUGUUUCACCAGGCCUACAGCAACGUCGCGACCCAACACCCCAACAGCGCCACCGACUGGAUAAUGGAUUCAGGCGCCUCUUCACACGUCACAGGUCAGCAAGGAUCUCGCCAGCAGGACGGUUCUCAUGCGCUCCAAUAGCCCAGGUCCACUCUACCCCUUCCAUGGUGAUUCGGAGCACACCACGAUGGCUCUCUCCGUUGCGGUCGACGGCGAUACCUGGCACAAACGGCUUGGUCACCCCGGCCACGCUACUCUCUCACGUCUUUCUCGUGAUUUUAUUCAGCUUUGUAAUAAACCGGCCCCUGUAUGCUCAUCUUGCCAGCUUGGCCGGCAACCCCGUCUCCCUUUCCCUUCCUCUAGAACAUGUACCACCGGCCCCUUUCAAAUAAUUCACCGUGAUUUGUGGACUUCACCGGUUGCUAGUUUUUCUGGUUUUCAAUAUUACCUUAUUAUCUUGGAUGAUUUCUCA